rnacentral:rRNA from 1 species
UACGGAGGAUCCAAGCGUUAUCCGGAUUUAUUGGGCUUAAAGGGUGCGUAGGCGGCUUAUUAAGUCAGGGGUGAAAGACGGUGGCUCAACCGUCGCAGUGCCUUUGAUACUGAUGAGCUUGAAUACACUUGAGGUAGGCGGAAUGUGACAAGUAGCGGUGAAAUGCAUAGAUAUGUCACAGAACACCAAUUGCGAAGGCAGCUUACUAAGGUGCAAUUGACGCUGAGGCACGAAAGCGUGGGGAGCAAACAGG